rnacentral:rRNA from 1 species
AUUGAACGCUGGCGGAAUGCUUUACACAUGCAAGUCGAACGGCAGCACGGACUUCGGUCUGGUGGCGAGUGGCGAACGGGUGAGUAAUGUAUCGGAACGUGCCCAGUCGUGGGGGAUAACGUAGUGAAAAUUACGCUAAUACCGCAUACGAUCUAUGGAUGAAAGCGGGGGAUCGCAAGACCUCGCGCGAUUGGAGCGGCCGAUAUCAGAUUAGGUAGUUGGUGGGGUAAAGGCCCACCAAGCCAACGAUCUGUAGCUGGCCUGAGAGGACGACCAGCCAUCCGGGAACUGAGACACGGUCCAGACUCCUACGGGAGGAAGCAGUGGGGAAUUUUGGACAAUGGGCGAAAGCCUGAUCCAGCCAUUCCGCGUGCAGGAUGAAGGCCCUCGGGUUGUAAACUGCUUUUGUACAGAACGAAAAGGUUUCUACUAAUACUAGGAGCUCAUGACGGUACUGUAAGAAUAAGCACCGGCUAACUACGUGCCAGCAGCCGCAGUAA